rnacentral:rRNA from 1 species
CACACCGCCCGUCACACCAUGAGAGCUGUUUGUACCCAAAGUCAUCUUAGCCAACCUGAAAAGGGGGCGGGUGCCUAAGGUAUGUAUGGUGAUUGGGGUG